UACCUCCAGAGGAAGCCACGGCUAACUCUGUGCCAGCAGCCGCGGUAAUACAGAGGUGGCGAGCGUUGUUCGGAUUUACUGGGCGUAAAGGGUGCGUAGGCGGUCUCGUGUGUCGGAUGUGAAAUUUUACGGCUCAACCGUGAAGGGUCAUCCGAAACUGCGGGACUAGAGUACCGGAGGGGAGAGCGGAAUUCUUGGUGUAGCGGUGAAAUGCGUAGAUAUCAAGAAGAACGCCGGCGGCGAAGGCGGCUCUCUGGACGGAUACUGACGCUGAGGCACGAAAGCUGGGGUAGCAAAGAGGAUUAGAUACCCUCGUAGUCCCAGCCGUAAACGUUGUGCACUUGGUGUGGGAGGAGUUAUCCCCUUCCGUGCCGGAGUUAACGCGUUAAGUGCACCGCCUGGGGAGUACGGCCGCAAGGCUAAAACUCAAAGGAAUUGACGGGGGCCCGCACAAGCGGUGGAGCAUGUGGCUUAAUUCGAUGCAACGCGAAGAACCUUACCUGGGUUUGACAUG
rnacentral:rRNA from 1 species